rnacentral:rRNA from 1 species
UACGUAGGGGGCAAGCGUUGUCCGGAUUUAUUGGGCGUAAAGAGCGUGUAGGCGGCCUGAAAGGUCAGCUGUGAAAACUCGAGGCUCAACCUCGAGACGUCGGUUGAAACCAUCUGGCUAGAGUCCGGAAGAGGAGAGUGGAAUUCCCGGUGUAGCGGUGAAAUGCGCAGAUAUCGGGAGGAACACCUGUGGCGAAAGCGGCUCACUGGACCACAACUGACGCUGAGGCGCGAAAGCUAGGGGAGCAAACAGG